rnacentral:rRNA from 1 species
UACAGAGGUCUCAAGCGUUGUUCGGAUUCAUUGGGCGUAAAGGGUGCGUAGGUGGCGAGGUUAGUCAGGUGUGAAAUCUCGGGGCUCAACCCCGAAACUGCACUUGAUACUGCCUUGCUCGAGUACUGGAGAGGAGAUUGGAAUUUACGGUGUAGCAGUGAAAUGCGUAGAUAUCGUAAGGAAGACCAGUGGCGAAGGCGAAUCUCUGGACAGUUACUGACACUGAGACACGAAGGCCAGGGGAGCAAACGGG